GGUAAUGAGCUUGUAUUAUGACUCAAUAGCAUCACUUUAUCACUUUAACACAGAUGGAGGCCUAAAUAACCAUAGGGCAAUGGUUCUUCUUAGAUGCAGAAGGACACAUUUAUAUAAUCUUAGGGACCCCAUCUCUGAGGUCACUCAUAAUUUAUAUUAAUUCAUUGUUAUUGCCAUUGCCCCAAGAAUAGAUAAGGAUAAGACAUCCUGUAGUACAGGUAGCAGAGAUAUAAACUAUUCUUAUUCUUGUGUCUUGUCUAUAGGAAGGGAGUGUAUCCUGGUGUAUGACAGCAUAUAGUAGAGACCAUUGUCAAUUAGGGCCUGUGAACUGAGACAGGGUGACUGGCUAAGUCCACAACCCAUUAGAAACCCAGAAAUAAUCAAAUCAUGAGGGAUCAUGGAAAGGAAGCUGAAUUUGCCAAGUUUUGCCACGUGGGCAUUGCAUGCCUAUGUGAUUAACCACCAAUAAAAACCUGGGACAUCAAAGAAUAAAUA
rnacentral:lncRNA from 1 species